UGAGCGGGGCAGUUCUUCUAAAGUGGCUCAGGAAUUAAGGGCGCGGCUUCAAGGACUGCGGAAGACGCAGGCAGGUGAAGGACACCGGGUCUGCCACAAGGUGGCAGUGGAAUGUGGUAGAGAAACCACCCGGGAGGCGGGGGAACAAUCGAACCUACCCCACCAUUGAAUGUAGAUUGGUGUGUCAAUGUUUCAGGUCUUUUCAAUGGACAGAGCUGGAAUAGGGUCUCACUAUGUAGUUCAGGUUGGCCUUGAACUCAUAGCCCAGGCUGGCUUUAAACUUGCAGUGAUUCUCCUGCCUCAGCCUACAAGGUACUGGGAUUAUAGUACUCUGCAUACUGUACCACUACGCCCAGACAUGUUUUCUUUUUAAUCAAUUGGUGGACUUCCGCUCAUACUUUGAGACCUAGAUUGUCAUACCUCUGUGAAGACUUUGCUGACAACCGGAACAUGUUCUUUACUCCACUUCCUUGCUGUUACUUUACCAUGGAUAUAUGAAUAACAUGGUACUUAAUAUACACAGCAUAUUUAUUGGAUAAAUGACAUAAACGUUCACAUUUAAAAGCCAUUAUUUUUUGCAAAUCAAUAAAUGUAAUA